rnacentral:rRNA from 1 species
GGUGCCGAUUACGGUGAGGGUCCACCCGUUCCCAUUCCGAACACGGCAGUUAAGCUCACUUGUGCCGAAGAUACUUCACUGGCGACGGUGCGGAAAAAUAGGUAGCGC